UACGUAGGGGGCAAGCGUUGUCCGGAUUCAUUGGGCGUAAAGAGCGUGUAGGCGGCCCGGUAAGUCCGCUGUGAAAGUCCAGGGCUCAACCCUGGAAUGCCGGUGGAAACUGUCGGGCUAGAGUCCGGAAGAGGCGAGUGGAAUUCCUGGUGUAGCGGUGAAAUGCGCAGAUAUCAGGAGGAACACCAAUGGCGAAGGCAGCUCGCUGGGACGGUACUGACGCUGAGACGCGAAAGCGUGGGGAGCAAACAGG
rnacentral:rRNA from 1 species